AUACUUACCUGGCAGGGGAGAUACCAUGAUCACGAAGGUGGUUUUCCCAGGGCGAGGCUUAUCCAUUGCACUCCGGAUGUGCUGACCCCUGCGAUUUCCCCAAAUGUGGGAAACUCGACUGCAUAAUUUGUGGUAGUAAUAAAUAAAUAAUGAUUAUUU
rnacentral:snRNA from 1 species